rnacentral:rRNA from 1 species
AGUGAACGCUGGCGGUAGGCCUAACACAUGCGAGUCGAACGGCAGCACAGUAAGAGCUUGCUCUUACGGGUGGCGAGUGGCGGACGGGUGAGGAAUACAUCGGAAUCUACUUUUUCGUGGGGGAUAACGUAGGGAAACUUACGCUAAUACCGCAUACGACCUACGGGUGAAAGCAGGGGAUCUUCGGACCUUGCGCGAUUGAAUGAGCCGAUGUCGGAUUAGCUAGUUGGCGGGGUAAAGGCCCACCAAGGCGACGAUCCGUAGCUGGUCUGAGAGGAUGAUCAGCCACACUGGAACUGAGACACGGUCCAGACUCCUACGGGAGGCAGCAGUGGGGAAUAUUGGACAAUGGGCGCAAGCCUGAUCCAGCCAUACCGCGUGGGUGAAGAAGGCCUUCGGGUUGUAAAGCCCUUUUGUUGGGAAAGAAAAGCAGCAGGUUAAUACCCCGCUGUUCUGACGUUACCCAAAGAAUAAGCACCGGCUAACUUCGUG